GCCGGGUGUGGUGGUGCACGCCUGUAUUCCCAGCUACUUGGGAGGCUGAGGCAGGGGAAUCACUUGAACCCAGGAGGUGGAGAUUGCAGUGAGCUGAGAUCACGCCACUGCACUCCAGCCUGGUGACAGAGUGAGACUCUGUCUCAA
rnacentral:sRNA from 1 species